rnacentral:pre_miRNA from 1 species
CAAGAAAUCACCUAGAGAACCCAUUAAUAGGCAGAUUCAAAUGCAGCCAGUCUGGGGGUGAAUCCUGAGACUCUGCAUUUCUCAUGAGCUUCCAGGUGAUGCUGCU